UUUCCUCCCAUGGUGUCAAUCCACAGAUAAUCACUGUUUUUAUUGAUGGCUACUAUGAGGAACCCAUGGAUGUGGUGGAUCUCUUCGGUCUUAAAGGAGUUCAGCAUACGCCUACCAGUAUUAAGAAUGCUAGAGUGUCACAGCACUACAAAGCCAGCUUGACUGCAACCUUCAAUCUGCAUCCAGAUGCAGAUUUUGCCAUUGUCUUGGAGGAAGACCUGGAUAUUUCC